rnacentral:tRNA from 1 species
GGGGCGGUGGUCCAGUCUGGUCUAAGAUCCCGGUCUCGGGAGCCGGAGAUCGCGGGUUCAAAAUGCACCCUUAAAUGCAUGAGGAUCCCGCCCGCCCCA